UACAGAGGUCUCAAGCGUUGUUCGGAAUCACUGGGCGUAAAGGGUGCGUAGGUGGCGUGGUAAGUCAGAUGUGAAAGCCCGGGGCUCAACCUCGGAACUGCAUCCGAUACUGCCAUGCUAGAGAACUGAAGAGGAGUGUAGAAUUCUCGGUGUAGCAGUGAAAUGCGUAGAUAUCAGGAGGAAUACCCGUGGCGAAAGCGGCUCUCUGGGACGGUACUGACGCUGAGACGCGAAAGCGUGGGGAGCAAACAGGAUUAGAUACCCCAGUAGU
rnacentral:rRNA from 1 species